rnacentral:rRNA from 1 species
GAUGAACGCUAGCGGCAGGCUUAACACAUGCAAGUCGAGGGGUAACAGGGAAAAGCUUGCUUUUUUGCUGACGACCGGCGCACGGGUGAGUAACGCGUAUAGAACCUACCUUUUACAGGGGAAUAGCCCAGAGAAAUUUGGAUUAAUGCCCUAUAGUAUUAUUGAGUGGCAUCAUUUAAUAAUUAAACAUUUAUGGGUAAAAGAUGGCUAUGCGUUCUAUUAGCUAGAUGGUAAGGUAACGGCUUACCAUGGCAACGAUAGAUAGGGGUCCUGAGAGGGAGAUCCCCCACACUGGUACUGAGACACGGACCAGACUCCUACGGGAGGCAGCAGUGAGGAAUAUUGGACAAUGGAGGCAACUCUGAUCCAGCCAUGCCGCGUGCAGGAAGACGGCCCUAUGGGUUGUAAACUGCUUUUAUACGGGAAGAAACCCAACUACGUGUAGUUGGCUGACGGUACCGUAAGAAUAAGCACCGGCUAACUCCGUGCCAGCAGCCGCGGUAAUACGGAGGGUGCAAGCGUUAUCCGGAAUCAUUGGGUUUAAAGGGUCCGUAGGCGGGCUAAUAAGUCAGGGGUGAAAUCCAACAGCUUAACUGUUGAACUGCCUUUGAUACUGUUAGUCUUGAAUUAUAUGGAAGUAGAUAGAAUGUGUAGUGUAGCGGUGAAAUGCUUAGAGAUUACACAGAAUACCGAUUGCGAAGGCAGUCUACUACGUAUAUAU